AGUACCUUCCCAACUCUGCAAUGCUAUGAGUCAAUGAAUUUAGUCCAGCGACCAGACAACCAGUUGCCUGUGGGGAACCAGCAAACAGGAUCCAAGCCCAGGAGUUCACGUCCCUCCGGUGGUACCCUGCAACUGGGAUUCAGAAGCACUUUCCCCUUCCAGCUGUGGAGGUAAAGCACAGCCACCGUGUCUAGUAGCCGUCAAUAGCUUUCUUGUCCCCCGUGAAUCUGUCCGAUCCUCUUUUGAAGCCAUCCACAUUGGUGGCCAUAGCUGCCUCCUGAAGGAGCGAGUGCCAUAGUUCCAUGAGCCUUGAUGCCUGGUGCCUACUAGCUGAUGCGCACAUUCUGGCCUGCUUUUGGGGCUGUGGCUGAGUGGCGGGGGGGCAGCCUUCUGGAGGUGGGGAGCUGGCCAAGGAACUGAAAUUCUGGGGCUUUGCGGGAAAGGGGCAUGUUGGUGGGGGCCAUGUGAAGAAAGGCCCCCGUUUGGGGCUGGUGGUUCCCUCAUUGGGAGAAGCAAAGCUACAGGGAACCAGGCAGAGGGCCUUCUCGGUAGUGGCGCCCGCCCUGUGGAACGCCCUCCCACCAGAUGUCAAAGAGAUAAACAACUACAGUGGUACCUUGGGUUACAUACGCUUCAGGUUACAGACUCCGCUAACCCAGAAAUAGUGCUUCAGGUUAAGAACUUUGCUUCAGGAUGAGAACAGAAAUCGUGCUCCGGCGGCGCGGCGGCAGCAGGAGGCCCCAUUAGCUAAAGUGGUGCUUCAGGUUAAGAACAGUUUCAGGUUAAGAACGGACCUCCGGAACAAAUUAAGUACUUAACCCGAGGUACCACUGUACUUAACAUUUAGAAGACAUCUGAAGGCAGCCCUGUUCAGGGAAGUUUUUAAUGUGUCACAUUUUGAUGUAUUUUUAAUCCUUGUUGGAAGCCGCCCAGAGUGGCUGGGGAAAAGCAGCCAGAUGGGCGGGGUACAAAUAAUAAAUUGUUGUUGUUGUUGUUGUUGUUUGCCUUGCCAUUACUCUAAUCCGGUCUGUCACCUCUCAGAUGCAGAACGGUGUUUCAGGUGCCUGCCCAGGAGACCUGACCGAUUUGGCCAACUGACUUGGGAUCUCAUUACCCCACUGCCAGGCCCCCUAUCCAUCUGAGCUGCAAGAUUAAGUGGAAGAGCAGCAACUCCCGGAGAGUAAGGCCCGC